rnacentral:rRNA from 1 species
GACGUAGGGCGCGAGCGUUGUCCGGAUUUAUUGGGCGUAAAGAGCUCGUAGGCGGCUUGUCGCGUUGUUCGUGAAAACUCACAGCUCAACUGUGGGCGUGCGGGCGAUACGGGCAGACUGGAGUACUGCAGGGGAGACUGGAAUUCCUGGUGUAGCGGUGGAAUGCGCAGAUAUCAGGAGGAACACCGGUGGCGAAGGCGGGUCUCUGGGCAGUAACUGACGCUGAGGAGCGAAAGCGUGGGGAGCGAACAGG